AUUGAACGCUAGCGGGAUGCUUUACACAUGCAAGUCGAACGAGUGGCGGACGGGUGAGUAAUAUAUCGGAACCUGCCCAGUAGAGGGGGAUAACUACUCGAAAGAGUGGCUAAUACCGCAUCCUAUUGGAUCGGCCCAUAUCGGAUUAGCUAGUUGGUGGGGUAAAGGCUCACCAAGGCAACGAUCUGUAGCUGGUUUGAGAGGAUGCCCGUCCAAACGGGGACUGAAAAACGGCCCAAACCCCACGGGGAGGCAGCAGUGGGGAAUUGUGGACAAUGGGGGAAACCCUGAUCCAUCCAGCCCGGGUGUAUAAGAAGGCCUUCGGGUUGAAAAGUACUGUUGGCAGUGAAGCGGUAUCUGCAGAAUAAGCACCGGCAAACUACGUGCCAGCAGCCGCGUAAUAC
rnacentral:rRNA from 1 species